rnacentral:rRNA from 1 species
UACAGAGGUGGCAAGCGUUGUUCGGAAUUACUGGGCGGAAAGGGCGCGUAGGCGGCCUGUUACGUCCCGUGUGAAAUCCCUCGGCUCAACCGAGGAACUGCACGGGAAACUGGCGGGCUUGAGCUCGGGAGAGGGAAGCGGAUUUCCGGGUGUAGCGGUGAAAUGCGUAGAUAUCCGGAGGAACACCGGUGGCGAAGUCUGCUUCCUGGACCGACACUGACGCUGAGGCGCUAAAGCUAGUGGAGCAGACGGG